rnacentral:SRP_RNA from 1 species
GCCUGGCAUGGUGGUGCGUGCCAGUAGUCCCAGCUACUUGGGAGGCUGAGGUGGGAGGAUUACUUGAGCCCAGGAGUUCUGGGCUGUAGUGUGCUAUGCCAAUCAGGUGUCUGCACUAAGUUUGACGUCAAUACAGUGACCUCCAGGAAGCGGGAGACCACCAGGUUGCCUAAGGAGGGGUGAACCAGCCCAGGUCAGAAACAGAGCAGGUCACAACUCCCAUACUGAUAGUAGUGGGAUUGCUCCUGUGAAGAGCCACUGCACUCCAGCCUGGGCAACAUAGUGAGACCCCAUCUCU